rnacentral:rRNA from 1 species
UACGUAGGGGGCAAGCGUUGUCCGGAAUCAUUGGGCGUAAAGCGCGUGUAGGCGGUUCGAUAAGUCUGCUGUGAAAGUCGGGGGCUCAACCCUCGAAAGCCGGUGGAUACUGUCGGGCUAGAGUGCAGAAGAGGCGACUGGAAUUCCUGGUGUAGCGGUGAAAUGCGCAGAUAUCAGGAGGAACACCGGUGGCGAAGGCGGGUCUCUGGGCCGAUACUGACGCUGAGGAGCGAAAGCGUGGGGAGCGAACAGG